rnacentral:rRNA from 1 species
UUGAACGCUGGUGGCAUGCCUUACACAUGCAAGUCGAACGGCAGCGCGGGAGCAAUCCUGGCGGCGAGUGGCGAACGGGUGAGUAAUACAUCGGAACGUGCCCAAUCGUGGGGGAUAACGCAGCGAAAGCUGUGCUAAUACCGCAUACGAUCUACGGAUGAAAGCAGGGGAUCGCAAGACCUUGCGCGAAUGGAGCGGCCGAUGGCAGAUUAGGUAGUUGGUGAGGUAAAGGCUCACCAAGCCUUCGAUCUGUAGCGGGUCUGAGAGGACGACCAGCCACACUGGGACUGAGACACGGCCCAGACUCCUACGGGAGGCAGCAGUGGGGAAUUUUGGACAAUGGGCGAAAGCCUGAUCCAGCCAUGCCGCGUGCAGGAUGAAGGCCUUCGGGUUGUAAACUGCUUUUGUACGGAACGAAACGGUCUUUUCUAAUACAGAAGGCUAAUGACGGUACCGUAAGAAUAAGCACCGGCUAACUACGU